UCAUUUGGUCUCAAGCUUCGAUGAAGAAAGAUACGAAACAUAUCUGUUCUGAAUUACAGAAUGUGGUGAAAUAA
rnacentral:rRNA from 1 species